rnacentral:rRNA from 1 species
AUCGAAUCUUUGAACGCACAUUGCGCCCCUUGGUAUUCCGAGGGGCAUGCCUGUUCGAGCGUCAUUUCACCAAUCAAGCCCCGCUUGGUAUUAGGCGAUCCGGCCGGCCCCCCGUGGCCGGCCCGCCCGAAAUGCAUCGGCGAGGAACCGACCCCCGG